rnacentral:rRNA from 1 species
GAGCGAACGCGGAACAGCCUAAACCAGGGGGCUUGCCUCCUGGGGUUGUGGGACGUCUCACAUGGAGUUACAAAGGAAUAUGGUAGGUGAAGAGGUCUGGAAAGGCCCGCGAUAGAGGUAAAAGCCCUGUAACCUAAACUGUGUUCUCUCCGAGACGGAUCCCGAGUAGUGCGGGGCACGUGAAACCCCGUAUGAAUCUGGCAGGACCAUCUGUCAAGGCUAAAUACUACCUGGCGACCGAUA